CCGGGCUUUCAUAUUUUAUCCCCUGGGCACGCACUUUCCAGUCUGGGCCCUAAACAAUCGCGCGAAUUGGAGGAGAUGGCGGCGGCGGCGGCGGGAGAAGUUUCCGGCGAGUCGUCGGGGACGAAGACGAAGCGGCUUAAGGUCGCCGUCAUCCACCCCGACCUUGGAAUCGGUGGUGCUGAGAGAUUGAUCGUUGAUGCGGCUUGUCAGCUUGCUGUCCAUGGACAUGAUGUCCAUGUUUUCACAUCACAUCAUGAUAAAAACCGCUGCUUUGAGGAGACUGUUUCCGGUCCAUUUUCAGUUACUGUAUAUGGAGAUUUCCUACCUCGUCAUGUGUUCAACCGCUUUCAUGCUGUUUGCGCUUAUCUUCGCUGCAUUUUUGUUGCACUCUGUGUGCUUCUUUGGUGGCCCUCCUUUGACAUCAUAUUGGUAGACCAAGUUUCUGUUGUGAUUCCACUACUCAAGCUAAAGCCAUCAUCCAAGAUAAUAUUUUAUUGUCAUUUCCCUGAUCUGUUGCUUGCACAACAUACUACCAUGCUUCGGAGGUUUUACCGCAAGCCAAUUGACAUGAUUGAGGAGGCCACUACUGGUGUGGCAGAUUUGAUUCUAGUCAACAGCAAGUUUACUGCAGCAACUUUUGGGAGGACCUUCUGUGGCUUACAUGCUAGAGGAAUCGAGCCUCGUGUUCUAUAUCCAGCUGUCUCUGUUGAGCAGUUUCAUGAACCUCAUGCUUACAAGUUGAAUUUCCUAUCAAUUAACCGGUUUGAGAGGAAAAAGAAUCUUGAUCUAGCCAUUUCAGCAUUUGCUUUGCUCCGUUCUGUUGCUUCUACACUACCUGGUAAUGCUCUGCAGGAAGCAACUUUGACAGUGGCAGGUGGCUAUGAUAAGCGUCUCAAGGAAAAUGUUGAAUACCUUGAAGAACUCAAAAGAUUGGCAGUGGCUGAAGGGGUGUCUGGACAGGUCAAAUUUAUGACAUCUUGCUCAACAUCUGUGAGAAACGAGCUUCUCUCCAACUGCCUUUGUGUUUUAUACACUCCAAAGGACGAACAUUUCGGCAUUGUUCCUCUUGAAGCCAUGGCGGCCCAUAAGCCCGUAAUUGCAUGCAACAGUGGUGGCCCGGUGGAAACAGUUGUAAAUGAAGUAACAGGGUUUCUGUGUGAUCCAUCACCCAUUGAAUUUUCAAAAGCCAUGCUGAAACUUGUGGAUGAUCAUGAUCUUGCUGUCAGGAUGGGUAAACAAGCACGAGACCAUGUGGUGCAAAAAUUCUCGACGAAGACAUUUGGUGACCUCCUCAACAGCUAUGUCCUUAAUGUCUAUCAUCAGAGGAUGGAGUGAUAUAUACCGUCCGGGCAAUGCCAUAUGGAAACAAUUUGAACACCACGACAUACUAUUUUCGAAUUUUUAUGACGCUUCUGACUUUGAUGUACACACAUUACGUUGAGGACAGAACUACUGGCCUCCGCAUCACUUACCUCAGCCUCCCCUCUCCACAAAGCGCCUCAAAAGAUCCGAUCUUCAACCUCCGGUUGACAGGACUACUGGCAAAAUGCCCACCUGGUAAGGCAAAGUCAUAAACCCUACUGGCCGUUUAACUUUGGUAAAAUUAGUGCUCUCCUCGCAGUCGGUCUACUUCCUCACGACUAUUAGGGCCCCUAAAGGAACGCUAGAGGAAAUUGAUUUGGCUAGGCAUCGAUUUCUCUGGUUUGGUUGUCAGCAGCUCAUCGGGGGUAGCUGCAAAGUCAACUGGGAUCGAGUCUGUAGGCCAAAAAGCAAGGGAGGGCUAGACGUUCUACACCUACAUGCUUUUGGUAGAGUGCUCUAGCAAUGGUUGUGGCUUGAAUGGAAAUCUCUGCAAAAGCCGUGGGUUGGGUUCGAGAUUUGCUGUGGGUUGGGUCCAAGAUUCCUUGCAAUAAUUCUGAUAGGCUUCUUUUUGCGGCGGCUACCGAGAUAUGAUUGGGGAUGGUAACUCCAUCUCCUUUUGGCAUUCUUCCUGGGUCGGCGGUUGCAGGCCUAUCGACUUCGCCCCCUCAUCUACUAUGCGUGCAUGGCAAAGUGACAGAACCUGCGUGAGGCCUUGGGAGAUAAUUCAUGGCUCCAUGACAUUGACUUUCGUUAGAUGGCAUCCUACCAACACAUUCACCAGGUUGUUCUAUGCCAGGCUGCACAAAAUGUGUCCUUACUCCCUCAGUCUCCCGAUGACAUCUUCUGGAAAAUGGGUGCGCAACAGGUGUACUCCAUGUCUUCGGCCUACAAGAUGCAAUUAUGGGGAUCCACAGACACCAACUUUGCCAUCAUCAUCUAGCAGGUCUGGGUGUCACCCAAAUGCAAUUUUUUUUUGUGGCUGGCUAAUCAAAACAGGCUAUGGACCGCUGAUCGGCUCUCUAAGAGGGGAUGACCCUCUACCACCAUCUGUGGGCUUUGCCUUCCUUGAGACUUGCCAUCAUCUCCUCACGGGCUGUAGAUUCACCCAGCGCAUGUGGGCCCAAAUGGCGGUUUGGCUGGCUCAGCCAGGUAUCGAUCUGCCCAAUUGGCCCCAUACAGACUCGGUCCACGAGCGGUGGACGGCCAUGGCUAACAUCAACCACUCCCCACGCAAAAAAGUCAGACUGCUCAUCAUUUUAGUUUCCUGGGAGAUUUAGAAGGAACGAAAUCAACGUGUUUUUUUUACCAUUGAGAGCAGGCCACAGCCCACCUCGUCCAGGUUAUCAAGGACGAAGCCUCUCUUUGGGCUUUCGCGGGUGCGCGCCACCUAGGACGCCUAGUUACGCAAGAGUAGGCUUGGUGCUUCGAGCUUAGGAUUUGUCGAGAUCCCGACCCUUGGUAUUUUUUCUUAUUCUGGCCUCCCUUUUCAAAAACCUUGUUUGUUAUUUGUCGGGCUUUCUUCUAAUUAAUACAACGGGUAGUUCUCCUGCCGGUCCAGUUCAAUUUUUUUUGGCCAAGUUCAUAAUGUACUGCACCCCUGGAAUGGAGCUGGAGCUUAUAGUCUUAUCCCCCCCGCCCCCCCAACGAAAGAGCAAUUAGGUUGAAACAACAAUGAUUUGACUGGUCAAAUAUAAACUGUCGGGAUCAACUCUCACCUGCUGUUUACAAUAUGCCAAGGACGAUGUUUGAGAGGAAUCAUGUAGGUCUGAGUAGCUGUGCCAAUUCAUGGAACUCAUUUGUUAAUUUGGUGACUGUCAUGAAUCAUCAUAUCCGAAUUUGUUACUAUAUGUACUCACGCCUUUGGAAAAUGUUGCCCACAAAUAUUCUGAGUUGGAUGCAAAAACCAGCAAUCCAAUUCAUGUCAAAUGCUAUGUGCCAAAUCGAAGUAGGAACUCUGAAUCCUUCUUAAAAAAAAAGGGAUUGUUUGAGGUCUGAAUGGGUAUGUUGUCAAUAUCCAUUGUCAAUGUGGUUUUGUCAGCAUUGGAAUUGUUGAUUCUGUUCAGAGGAAACUAAAUUUAAGGUUUUAAACUGUUGGAUGAUUCAAAAUCUCAUUGAAUAUUAUAACCGAUAAGUCGGUGACGGUUGUGAUUAGGAUGCAAUUUUUAGAUCGCUUAGUCAAUGGAUUUAGUAGUCCAGUUCCUUGAUAAUCAUUAGCCACACUGAUUGCAACAUUUGUUCAAAAGAAAAUUGAGCCAGUUAGAUCGACCAGGAAGCACCCGAUGACCACUGUUCGUUUUGGUGUGAUUGUGAUUCCCUCCGAUGGUUGAGGUAAGCACCCGAUGACAUCCUACUGCUUGCGGGAUCGUCUGGCGAGUGUGGGAGGACCUGGUGGCAGCCCGAUGAGGCAAUCUGCGAUGACGCUUUCGUUACCAACGCCAACAGAUGAAGCACGGGAGUGGACUCCAGUCCGAACUCAGAUGCACAGUUCUAUGGCAAUGGGACGUUCUGGCGGCGAUUUCGGUGCUUAUGGCGGCUCUGAUCCCUUGGAUGAUCGAUGGCGAGGGGGUUCCAAAUUUUGGGUGCUGGCAAAUGAAGAUGCCUUGGAUAUGGAAAACGUAGUGGUGGUCACUCCAACAACUUCUGAGUUCUUGGAAUCUGUUGUCCAGGCAGGUUUCUCGGUGGAAGAAGUUGUCCAAGCGGAGGCUCAGAUCGUGGCAGAAGAGAAGGCUGAGGUAUGUACAUGUCCAGGGCAUAGAAACUCUUUACCUCAGCGGAUCAUCGACGCUUUGGUGAAACAUCGACAGGGUAAACCAUGGUGAGGUCCUUUGCCAAAGCCUCGGAUCUCACCUCCAAGGACAAUUGGAGAUAUUUUGGUUAGGGGUGCCUAUGCACUAUCAUCGAGAUGGCUAUCGGCGCCUCCGUCGCUUAAGUUGGACUGUCCAGCAAUGAUGGAUUCGGGCCAAUCUCGAGCGAAAAUCAUUCAUGUGCUCUUGGGAAUCCAUCAUCGAAUGUGGCAGUGGUGAGUAGUUCAUCGACAGAGCUGAUCGGAGUAACACCUGAGCCUGAGAAGAAGAUUCCUGAGUUUCUAAUUUCAAAAGCUGCGGCUAAAGUGGAUCUGGGUUCAAUGUCACCACGCAAGUGGGUCGAGACAUCUGUUAUGGGCCAUAGUCUAGAAAGGAGAGGGCUUGAUGGGCACAAAUCGCUACAUCCAAUCUUUAUUCAAAAAAAAGCCAAAAUACGGAUGGUUCCAUUCUCCAGCAUGCUUGCCUACUUUAUUUGCGCAUUCCAGACAAUCUCCAGAACUUCUACGAAACCCUACGCCACAUUAUUUGCCGUCGAGUCUUCCAUGUCUAGCCAAUUCUACAUCGGCUGUCUAUCUGCAACGCGGUUCCUACAUCGAGGUGGUGAAGAGGGCCAUGGAUCGGGACGGCAGCUAGCCUGGUCGCGGUUCAUGAUGUCGAAUUGCCUUGAUUAAUUCACUGAUAUGGCAAUAAAAUAUGAGCUUAUGUCCAUUUCCUAUAAUGAAAGUUAAGCUGAGCAUAUGUUUGGUGUCGAUGACGUGUUUAUCUUAGUCUGAGCAUAUGUCCAUGCAUGCCAAUGAUAUUGGUCUGUUAACCUGAGCAUAUGUCCAUGACAAUGCUCCGGCAAGUCAUCGAAUGGAUCUUGUGUGUUGAGGGUUAGUCUCUGACAAUGAUUUCGGAGUAUGCUGGAUAACAUGUGCGUGAAUGAUGUUUUAGGAAUUGAUGUGUGAGCGUACGAUGGACUCAGGGACAUAGAGAGUUAUAUAAGUUCAGGCCUCUCAGAGAAUAAUAGCGCUACGUCCUGUGUGUUGUGUUAUGGAGGAUCUCCAUUGGUUACAGAGGUAGUUCUAGCCGACUGCCAGACUUGAUCUGCAAUCCUCUACAAAUAGGGUCAUCAUCUCUUUAUAUAGUAGGGAGAAGGAGAACUUACAUGUAGGUCCAAACAGAAGAUCCUGCUUAUCCUAAUAUCUAACACAAGCCAUCAUUACAGAGGAUCAAACGUGUCCAUUUGCUCGGAGGGCUUAGUAUAUCUCAUCGCCGUGCACCGCUGUGCUAGUUUGCAAAGCCCCACUCCAUAGCAUUUAAUGCUAUUGGGUGGGGCAAUGCCCCUUUGUGCCAUCCCCGACCACUUGCUUGACAGCUUGCUGACAACGUCUCAUCCAUCGUGCGGCGCCACAUCGACCUCCAAAGUUCUACGCUACGAGACGGGACAAUGCCCCUCUAUGCCAUCCACGACUUCGCCCACUAGAGUUAGCGCCUGGGGAAGGAGAACACUUUGAGUGAAUGUCAAUAAAUGCGAUUGGACAGGUUGUGUUAGAUCCGGCCUUGUGACUAGUGAGGCCGGUCACGGGUUUAUACAAUGACAUAGGGAGACUGGUCGCGUACUGGUCGUGGGAACCAUACCCUGGACGUGCGAUUGACGAAUUUUAGUAACUAUACGUCUCUGACCGUUAUAUCCCUCGCGGGGUCUGUUUGCUAUGGUACCCCUUUAUUCAAUACACCGAUAAUGCGUGACUACUAUAAGCUGCAGAUGAAGGUAGCCGCCUAUCAGAAGCAACCGAUAGAUGAGCCUAAGGUAACAACUACCACUCAAUAAGCUUGCUUAGCUAGGGUGAUAUCCAACUAGUCUUCCCCAAGUUCUAGCUAGCUAGCCGCGCUAAUCUCGUGCAUGCUUUUAAUUGUUCUUCCACGUGAUACACCAUAAUUGAGUCAUUUGCACCUUGUUAUUCGAAUUCGUGAUUUUGUCUAACUUUGACACUAACAUUCAUGUUGUUGCCUGCAUAUUUGACAUACAUCCUUAAUAUCUUCUCAUAUAUUCCAAGAGAUUUGAAUUUUAUUGAGAACACAAGCAAUAUUGGUUGGAAAGAGUAUCAAAGGGCAAGACCAAUCAGUGUAGAUCCAGCAUUGCAAGUCCCAAAUAAAACUGAGG